GUGAGAAAGGAAGACACGGACAGAGCAUCCCCCGGGGCAGCAAGCACCGAGAGCGGCCGAGCACCGCCCCAGAGCGAGGGACACGGAACCGGGAGCACCACGGGGACCCAUGGAGCAUCCACCCGGGUCAGCGGUGAAGAGGGUGCCGGGAUCGGGCGGGAGGAGCACGGACACCCACCGGAUCAUCCCCCACAGGGUAGGAAUCCCCACGGAGCAGCGAGAGCGUCGGAGCAUUCCCGGGGUGCGAAGGGAGGACACCGACAGAGAAUCCCUUGGGUCAACGAGCGCCGAGAGCAACCGAGCAUCCCCGUGGUGAGGACGACGGUGCCAGGAGCAGCACGGAGAGUGAGAUAGCAUCCCCCGGAGGGUACGGAUCCCCACGGAGAGCGGCGGAGCAUCCCCGGGGUGAGAAAGGAAGACACGGACAGAGCAUCCCCCGGGGCAGCAAGCACCGAGAGCGGCCGAGCACCGCCCCAGAGCGAGGAACACGGAACCGGGAGCACCACGGGGACCCAUGGAGCAUCCACCCGGGUCAGCGGUGAAGAGGGUGCCGGGAUCGGGCGGGAGGAGCACGGACACCCACCGGAUCAUCCCCCACAGGGUAGGAAUCCCCACGGAGCAGCGAGAGCGUUGGAGCAUCCCCGGGGUGCGAAGGGAGGACACCGACAGAGAAUCCCUUGGGUCAACGAGCGCCGAGAGCGACCGAGCAUCCCCGUGGUGAGGACGACGGUGCCAGGAGCAGCACGGAGAGUGAGAUAGCAUCCCCCGGAGGGUAGGGAUCCCGACGGAGAGCGGCGGAGCAUCCCCGGGGUGAGAAAGGAAGACACGGACAGAGCAUCCCCCGGGGCAGCAAGCACCGAGAGCGGCCGAGCACCGCCCCAGAGCGAGGGACACGGAACCGGGAGCACCACGGGGACCCAUGGAGCAUCCACCCGGGUCAGCGGUGAAGAGGGUGCCGGGAUCGGGCGGGAGGAGCACGGACACCCACCGGAUCAUCCCCCACAGGGUAGGAAUCCCCACGGAGCAGCGAGAGCGUCGGAGCAUCCCCGGGGUGCGAAGGGAGGACACCGACAGAGAAUCCCUUGGGUCAACGAGCGCCGAGAGCGACCGAGCAUCCCCGUGGUGAGGACGACGGUGCCAGGAGCAGCACGGAGAGUGAGAUAGCAUCCCCCGGAGGGUAGGGAUCCCCACGGAGAGCGGCGGAGCAUCCCCGGGGUGAGAAAGGAAGACACGGACAGAGCAUCCCCCGGGGCAGCAAGCACCGAGAGCGGCCGAGCACCGCCCCAGAGCGAGGGACACGGAACCGGGAGCACCACGGGGACCCAUGGAGCAUCCACCCGGGUCAGCGGUGAAGAGGGUGCCGGGAUCGGGCGGGAGGAGCACGGACACCCACCGGAUCAUCCCCCACAGGGUAGGAAUCCCCACGGAGCAGCGAGAGCUGCGGAGCAUCCUCGGGGUGCGAAGCGAGGACACCAACAGAGAAUCCCUUGGGUCAACGAGCGCCGAGAGCGACCGAGCAUCGCCCCGGAGCGAGGACCACGGAUCCGGGAGCACCACGGUGACGAAUGGAGCAUCCCCCCCAUGCAGCUGUGAAGACGGUGCCGGGAUCGGGCAGCAGCUCCCCAGACACUACUGGAGCAUCACCCACAGGUAUUGUAUUUUUCCAAAUAGGGUAGGGAUCCACACGGAUCACCGAGUGCGGGAGAGCAUCCCCGGAGCUGAGGAAGGAGGCCAUGGACAGAGAAUCCCCCGGGGCAGCGAGCACUGAGAGCGGCGGAGCAUCAACCCGGGGCGAAGAUCACAGACACCCAUGGAAUGGCAAAGACGGUGCUGGGAUGGGGCGGAAGGAGCCUGGACACCCAGCGGAGCAUCCCCCCGAGCCUAGGAAUCCCCACGGAGCACAGAGAGCGGCGCACCAUCGGCCUGGAGCGAGGACCAUGGUGUCGGGAGCACCAUGGAGAGCGGCGGAGCAUCCCCGGGGUGAGGACGAUGGUGCCAGGACCACCACGGAGAUUGAGAUAGCAUCCGCCGGAGGGUAGGAAUCCCGACGGAGAGGGGGUGAGGAGGGAGGCCACGGACAGAGAAUCCCCCCGCGGCAGGGGCGGUGACGGUGCCGGGAUCGGACGGAAGCUCCGUGGACCCCGACCGGAGCAUCCCCCACAAUUAAGGCCCGUCCCCCUCUCUCCAAUUUCUGAAAUAAAUUUGACAAAAAUCUCAUUAAA